rfam:Triticum aestivum genome assembly, contig: Triticum_aestivum_CS42_TGACv1_scaffold_159134_2DL
GCUAGGAAGAGGAAGAAAUAGAGGGCGUAAGAGCAGUGGGAAUGAGAACAUAUAGGAAACCCUAACUUUACUGAUUCUUCACCUCUUUUCUUGAGGUAGAAAUUUAGUUUGGCAAUUCCCGAUGCCUCUCAUUCCUAUUGUUCUUAGGCGCUUCUUCCUAUUCCUUUUGGUU